CGGCAGCGUCAACGUCCUCUUUCGCCUUGGAACGUCAGCAUGAUGUGGUCGUCUCCUGAAGAGGAUGCCACCGUCUCGUUGCUUCAGACCGGCAGUUGAUCCUGAAAUGUGAGGUACACAGGGAAGACCCCCAUUCAGCUGGGUGUCAUUACCUCGCCGAAAUCACAGCGUAAUGUGGCAGUCAAAUUGCUUUGAGCCCUGAGCAUGGACAUCCCUAACCAAGGGUUACACUGAUGGCCGAUGCACCUACCUAGAUCUUGCCGCAAGAAGUUUGUUACACUGAUGGCAGAUGAAUCCACCAAGAGCUUGCCGCAAUAUUUUUGCGGAAGGCAGGAUACACUCUGGACAAGUCUCCACCUCAUAAACCAUCACGCAGAAAAUAUAUUUAAAACCAAUGAAGCUAAACAUCAGUAAGUGAGAUUUACAUUAGUAGAAGUUAAAUUGUUGGGUAACUUCUGAGAAACUGCGUUUUCCAAGCUGAUGUAAAAGCACUGCUUUCAAAGUAGAACUUGAGAAACUAAACGUUUUACACUUGUUAGACUGAAUAUUUAUAUUGACAUUUUGAAGACCUCAACUGCAAGUUAUAUUUUAAAUAUUUGCUUCAAACUGAUGUCCUUAAACAAUAAUUUCCACUAUUACUACAAACAUUUAUUUUAAUAUAGUUAGAAUAUUGACCUUUAGAUUUAUGUUCUGUUAAAGCAGUGCUUCUCAAACAUUUUCUGUUAUGCCACUGUUAUAAAAAAUUUAAAACUAUACUUCUGCAUAAAAUUGUAAGCUUAUUGAAUUAAAGUAAACAGACUGGUCUUUCCUUGUCUCCCACCGUGCUGAAGCAAAGUGGUACAUACGCUUUAGCAUAUUUUCCACGAAAGUCACAUGCGCCCUCUCACGGGGGCCUGCCCUACUAUUGGAGAAGGACUGAGUUCCAGCAAUUUUGUAAUUUUUACCUGCCAUGCCAUCCUUUUUUGGGAUGGGGGGGGGGGGACAUAUGCCACAUUAAUAUUAUGAUUCUUAUAACGUUACAUCCCUAUUGAAGACUCAUAUUUUAUGUCUGUGUGCCCAUGGUAUAAUCCUAAUAUUAAUUUU